rnacentral:snRNA from 1 species
CUCAAGAAGUCACUCGAUGAAA